rnacentral:rRNA from 1 species
UACGGAGGGUGCAAGCGUUAUCCGGAUUCACUGGGUUUAAAGGGUGCGUAGGCGGGCAGGUAAGUCAGUGGUGAAAUCUCCAAGCUUAACUUGGAACUGCCGUUGAUACUAUCUGUCUUGAAUACUGUGGAGGUGAGCGGAAUAUGUCAUGUAGCGGUGAAAUGCUUAGAUAUGACAUAGAACACCAAUUGCGAAAGGCAGCUCACUACACAGCCAUUGACGCUGAGGCACGAAAGCGUGGGGAUCAAACAGG